rnacentral:rRNA from 1 species
UGGGGAAUAUUGCACAAUGGGCGCAAGCCUGAUGCAGCCAUGCCGCGUGUAUGAAGAAGGCCUUCGGGUUGUAAAGUACUUUCAGCGGGGAGGAAGGCGAUAAGGUUAAUAACCUUGUCGAUUGACGUUACCCGCAGAAGAAGCACCGGCUAACUCCGUGCCAGCAGCCGCGGUAAUACGGCGGGUGCAAGCGUUAAUCGGAAUUACUGGGCGUAAAGCGCACGCAGGCGGUCUGUCAAGUCGGAUGUGAAAUCCCCGGGCUCAACCUGGGAACUGCAUUCGAAACUGGCAGGCUAGAGUCUUGUAGAGGGGGGUAGAAUUCCAGGUGUAGCGGUGAAAUGCGUAGAGAUCUGGAGGAAUACCGGUGGCGAAGGCGGCCCCCUGGACAAAGACUGACGCUCAGGUGCGAAAGCGUGGGGAGCAAACA